rnacentral:misc_RNA from 1 species
GACAGGAAAUUCUGUGACACUUUUAUCUUAGAAUUUCACUUCUUCCUUUAAGAUGCAGGUCAACCUUUAAUUCAACAAUCCAUCAGAUAAAUGAUAAUCCAACAAAUAAAGAUGACCUGUUUAUAUUCUGUCACAUACUACCAAAAAGACGAACCUUUACAAACUCAAACAACAAAGAUAAAAGUGUCACAGAAUUUCCUGUCCCUUGUACCCAAAAAAAGCUAUGCAACAUUUACUUCUUGUUUUUAGCCUUCAAUUCUGUAGGAUUUGCGUCUGCAGCAGCCUUAGCAAGAGUUGUGGGUUUGAAGACACUCUUUGGAUUAAGAGCGUUUCUUAUCUUGAAAACAGUCCAAGCAGUGCAAAAGGCAUGUCCUGCAGCAUCUAGUCCUUCAUUUGUUGCCUUCGCUGCCUGUUCGCCAUAUCUCUGUGAGACGAGGCCUGUUGUCACUACUGAUGACGUUGACAUGACAUUCUUUCCAGCAACCUCAACAGCAUCACAGACCUUGUUAAAUCCUUCCAAAGAAGCAAGCACAAUUUCUCCAGGCAACAGGCUAAAAAAUUUCUUUCCAGCUUUAGAGUUGACAAUUGCACUUGUAACGAAUCCUGAGAUUUUCACAACCCCUGUAAGGAUUCCAGUGGCCACUUCCUCGGACAUUCUUGUUAACCUCUUAACCCUUUUGAUUCUCCUCAUGGCUGCUGGGCUAAUCUCCGUAUCUGAUCUCUCUCCCAUCCUAUUCUUCAAGAACUCAUUUCCCCACUUCAAUCUAUCCACAGUCACAUCCCCACACCACAAUAUCCCCUUAAUCAGCUGCCCAGACCCAGCUGCUAUCAUCCUCGAGACAGAACCACUAUAAUCCUCUACAUUUGGAGCCAAUACAGUCCAAUAUGCCGCCGAACACUCCUCCAACUCUUUCUUCUUCUCCUUCGUCUUUAACUCCUCCGGCGAUAUCCCCCUCGCCGUUUUCCAUUCUAUCAACUGCCAGUCCCCUCUCUCAUUCACUUCUUGCACAGUGAAAGAACUAUAAGACUCCAAUAUAUUAUCGAAUUCCUUCAAUAAAGCCUCCUGUCCUUUCGACGCAAUUGUAACUCCAUAAUUCAAUAACUCCAUUUCCACCUCAUUUUCAACCUCACUCUCAUCUUUACCUUCAUUCACCCCUUUUUCAUUUCCCGGAACGCGAAGAUUAAAGAAGUAAUGGGAUUCAUCGAGUUUCACAGAUGCCUCAUCUUUGGCCAAAGGCCACUGAAUAUCAUCUCCAACACGAGCAAGAACAGCAACUACGGUAUCACCCUGUUUGAGACAGACGAUUGUGAGGUCACCACAAGCGAGCUGAAUGCUACGGUCUUUCUCAAUCAGAUGGACGAAUGCACCUGGGAUGGUGAUGAGAGGUUCUUCAUAAGGUUGAGAGUUCGCAGACAGCAAACCGGCGUCGUAUUCAGGAAGGAGGUUCUCGGCCUCUUCUUCCAUGUCAAUAGAAGGGUACAAAGAAGAAGAGGAAGUUGAAGUAGCAGAAAUGGCUUCUGGGUUUGAGAGAUCGACUUUUGGGUAGAGAGAAUUGGGAGAAGACAUUUUUGUGAAGUUGAUUUGC